rnacentral:lncRNA from 1 species
AAAGCCCCAUGUUGAAACCACGCUUUCGUCUUCACUGAGGAUCUGGAGCAGCUCUCAGCUGUUCACGCUGAUGACACAGAGCGAGCAAAACGGAGCCCAGGGUCUUAUGGAAAGCAGUCUCUCCAGGGUUCCACUUCUUGCCUCUGUCCACAGAGACCCCGCGAUGCAUGUUGCUGUCCAUCCACUCCCCCUUCUCUGCCCGCAGACCCCUGCUCUGCUCCUCGUACCCGCAGCGCGUGACCCUCCGCAGAGUGCAGCCCCCUCAAAAGUGCUUUCAGUUCCUUUCUGAUUGCUUAUCAUGAAAAGAACGGAUCUUCUCACAUUCAGGCAGCGUCCGCUUGAGCCGGCGGGAAUGCAAUACGUGGACGAGAUCACACUUAACAACCCUGCUCUUCCUUGAAAUAAAAGAUAAAUAACAGAGAUGUGAUUCUAGGUC